CCUACGGGUGGCUGCAGUGGGGAAUAUUGGACAAUGGGGGGAACCCUGAUCCAGCCAUGCCGCGUGUGUGAAGAAGGCCCUCGGGUUGUAAAGCACUUUCAGUGAGGAAGAACGCCUGGUGGUUAAUACCCAUCAGGAAAGACAUCACUCACAGAAGAAGCACCGGCUAACUCCGUGCCAGCAGCCGCGGUAAUACGGAGGGUGUGAGCGUUAAUCGGAAUUACUGGGCGUAAAGCGCGCGUAGGUGGCUUGAUAAGCCGGUUGUGAAAGCCCCGGGCUCAACCUGGGAACGGCAUCCGGAACUGUCAAGCUAGAGUGCAGGAGAGGAAGGUAGAAUUCCCGGUGUAGCGGUGAAAUGCGUAGAGAUCGGGAGGAAUACCAGUGGCGAAGGCGGCCUUCUGGACUGACACUGACACUGAGGUGCGAAAGCGUGGGUAGCAAACAGGAUUAGAUACCCGAGUAGUC
rnacentral:rRNA from 1 species